UGAGACCUACCUGGCAGCAGAGAAGU
rnacentral:piRNA from 1 species